UACGUAGGGUGCAAGCGUUGUCCGGAAUUAUUGGGCGUAAAGAGCUCGUAGGCGGUGUGUCACGUCGGCCGUGAAAACCUGCAGCUUAACUGUGGGCGUGCGGUCGAUACGGGCAUCACUGGAGUUCGGCAGGGGAGACUGGAAUUCCUGGUGUAGCGGUGAAAUGCGCAGAUAUCGGGAAGAACACCCGUGGCGAAGGCGGCUCUCUGGGACGGUACUGACGCUGAGACGCGAAAGCGUGGGGGAGCGAACAGG
rnacentral:rRNA from 1 species